AUACCUUUCUCGGCCUUUUGGCUAAGAUCAAGUGUAGUAUCUGUUCUUAUCAGUUUAAUAUCUGAUAUGUGGGUUAUAUACUCACAAUGAUAUUAAAUUUAUUUUUUGUGGGGGAGAGCCCAUUAUAGUGGCUUGCCACUAGGGUUCCCAAGCGUCGCCUAAGCGUUGCACUAUUGCUUAGGCCAGGCGCAGCCCAA
rnacentral:snRNA from 1 species